ensembl:lncRNA
GUCAAUUUCAAAGUGAUUUUCUGUAGUUCCACUGCUGUGGAAAGUGUGCUUUCCACGUUGCUAUAUGUGGAAAUAAAUGACACUAAUGGAAGCAAAUAGAUAGAGAGAGCUGAGAGUCCAAGAGAUAUCCACAUGAUGGUUAUUGGCUUCUGGGGAAACAAAGAAAAAAAAACCAAAAGAACACUUGCAAAACACACAAAUACCAAGGUGUUAUGGAGGGAAAAAAUGGAAGACACGUCAGAGAACCUCCAGCUCCGGCAGAGUUACAGAUGAACAUUAAUCCGUACACUUAUGCACACCUUCUUCCAAAGGAAAUUUCAAAGGAAACUGAUACAUCUUACAGAGGUGGCAUUCACAUUUGCAUAUGGUGAGUACUGCAUCUGUAGUAGCAAAUCAGAGUGACUGUUUAUGUGUAGAAAUUACUGUAAUGACUGCUUUGCUCUCAUGGAGCACAAGGUCUCACAGAUGGCUGCCAAGCCAUUCUCUCUCUGGUAGCAGGUGUAGAUCGAAGCAGAUAAAA